rnacentral:lncRNA from 10 species
CUGGGAGAAAUGACACAAAGACUCAACUUUUAUGUCAGGUGGGAGAGAAAAUGAUUACUAGGGGCUAGAAAAUUGUUGUUUCACUAAUCAAUGUUGAUUUUUAUUGCUAUUUUGUCUCAAAUUAUGUUAAUAAUAAAGUAAUGGCCUUGAUCCAAAAAAAUUUUUUAAAACUUAUUUUUUCAAUCAGCCAAAAUAUUAACCAAAAGGAUAAAGGUAUUUAAGUCAUAAUUUAUAGUAUAAAAUUAAAAUGUUUCUAGAAAUAUAAAAGGAAAAAAGAUAUAUAAAAAAUAAGAAAAGGAAAAAAGUGGAUUACUCACAAUAGCUAAGGUAUGAAAUCAACCUAAGUGUCCAUCAACAGGUGAAUAAUUUUUAAAAAGUGGUAUAUUUACACAAUGGAAUGCUCUUUAUUCCUUAAAAAGAAAGAAGUCUUGGAGGUGGGCUCAGCAGUCUGUGUCUUAGCAAGCCUUGCAGAAAUUCUGAUGCACACUGAAGUUUGAGCGUCACUGGAAUGGAUAGUGUCCAAAUGAUUGCUGGGUCACCCCACCUAUCCUUAACAAAUAAGUUAUUCUUCUCUUUUUUUAAAUCACCAGGGAAUUGAAUAUUUCCUGAAGAAUUAAAACUGAAAGAAUAAUAUAUAUUUAUUAAAGCAAUGCAGGUUGUAUACUGAAAUUUCAGAGGCUUAGUAAAAUAAUAUAUAUUCUGCUAAAAUCACCAUUUCCUUUUUUUCUGAUUAAGAGGACUUUUUUAUGACCUUUCAGGGAUUAUGUUUUCUUUCACUUUCUAUCUGCAUUCUCUUUCUUCAGCCAACUGAUUAAAAAAAGAUGCAGAGAAGAUACAUUUUCUUCUCAUCCACACAUCACUUCCACUUUCUAUUAGUCAAUGUGAGUAGAGCUGAGAAUAGCUGUUUUCUAGCAUGACAGCAAUUUCUCAGAAAUAAAAACACUCUGAAACAAAACUAUAAAUCUUUCAUCAAAAGUUAAUGUAUUUUAAGCAAAAUAAGCAUAUGCAUCAAUAAUAAAAUGCUUGUGGUAGAAUCGAUUUAUUUUGUUGAUUUCUAUUGAGUUCAGAUAAGAUUUGACCAAAAGCUAGCAAAUAUAGAGCAGAAAAAAGA